CCUACGGGUGGCAGCAGUGGGGAGUAUUGCACAAUGGGCGCAAGCCUGAUGCAGCCAUGCCGCGUGUGUGAAGAAGGCCUUCGGGUUGUAAAGCACUUUCAGCGGGGAGGAAGGCGUUAAGGUUAAUAACCUUGGCGAUUGACGUUACCCGCAGAAGAAGCACCGGCUAACUCCGUGCCAGCAGCCGCGGUAAUACGGAGGGUGCAAGCGUUAAUCGGAAUUACUGGGCGUAAAGCGCACGCAGGCGGUCUGUCAAGUCGGAUGUGAAAUCCCCGGGCUCAACCUGGGAACUGCAUUCGAAACUGGCAGGCUAGAGUCUUGUAGGGGGGGGUAGAAUUCCAGGUGUAGCGGUGAAAUGCGUAGAGAUCUGGAGGAAUACCGGUGGCGAAGGCGGCCCCCUGGACAAAGACUGACGCUCAGGUGCGAAGGCGUGGGGAGCAAACAGGAUUAGAUACCCCAGUAGUC
rnacentral:rRNA from 1 species